UUCGUUAAGGUAGUUUCGCUUCGAAAUUUUUGACACUAAACGUAUUUGCUCCAAAUUGUCUGAGGUCUGAUGAUCUAUCCAGAUGGGGAACAGUCACAGCACCUGUAAAUUUUGCAUAUGAUGUAAGCAUACUUCUUUCCUCGGCGAAGUAUUUGUUAAGUCCAGCUUUCAGAAGGACCAGAUGGGCCAAUGGCAGAGUGCAAAGACCUCCAUAUGCAUAACAGCCGGCAUACUAACGAAUUUUACCGUAGCUGAAAGACAUAAAUCAGGAGGAAGUGGUGUAAUAUUAGCUCAGCCAUAGCUCAGCAUUGAGUGCGGUCCGCUAAUGUUAUCACGGAAAUUUCUUCUUUGAUAUUCUUGCAUAUUUUGCAUCCUGGGUGAUAGGAUUCUUCUUCGCAGUACCAACAUAGGUAUUACCACGGGUCAGUAGACCUAAGGACGCAAAGCAUGCUUGAGAAUGCAUGAAAAAGCUCAUAUUUCCAGAAAAAUUUUCGAGCAAAGAGCCUGCUUUAUUGAAGGAAGUUAAAAGUAACAAAUCUAAUUUUCUACACUUCUAGCAUUCAAAUGCAAAAAACUGCAUAUAACAGUAAUUAUUUUACAAAUAUACCGUUGUGUAGUAUUAUUUGUUCCAAUUAUUGUCUAAAACUCGUUCACGCAUCGAGAGUAUUGAGUGACAUAGAACCGUUAUAUGCCUCCGUGGCGCAAUUGGCUAGCGCGUUCGGCUGUUAACCGAAAGAUUAAUGGAACUUUCGGGGGAAAGGAGCGAAGUUAUCUGACCUUUAUUGACCCAAGCGUUUUUACAGCUAACUCAAUAAUUUGUCCAACAACUGAGCUGAGCUGCUGAAAGCAAAAAAAUUUAAAUUUUUUAUUGUCAAAAUUUAUUUG
rnacentral:lncRNA from 1 species